UAUUAUAAUAGAAACUGACUAGUCAUCGUGGCCAUGAAUAUAGACUUUAAUGUCUACACGACUACAGUAGGUAGGGUAAAUUUUUAACCUCAUUGGUUAUAAAUUAUUUCCGUACUGUAAAUAAAGCAAUUAUAAGCGCAAAUCGACAAACAAGCCAAAUCACAAACAAUUUUAAAAUUAUAAUAAUAAUUGUAGUAUUAGUUAUAAAGUAAUGCAACUUGUGCAAAUUACUGUUAGAAUAAGCUAUCACUGUUUUAAAAAGGGAUUUAAUAGGGUAGCCAUGAUAUGAAUAUAAUGGAUAAUUAAUCUAUAAAGAUUUUCCUAUUAAUAGGUACGAUAAAUACAUG